UUUCCUCUGAUCACUAUAGGCAGUGACAAACAGCUUCAAGUCAUUUACACUUUAAAGUGCAUCAUGUUCACUGAAGCUUUAGUGCUGCUUCUGGCAAGUGUAAACUGUAUUAAUGCAGAUGAACUCUCUCAGCCUGAGUUUCUGACUGUUCGUCCUGAUGGCUCUCUAACUAUCGACUGUAAAGUCUCUUAUUCAGUUACUGACUAUGGUACAGCCUGGAUCCGUCAACCUGCAGGAAAACCUCUGGAGUGGAUUGGGUAUAUCUCUUGGGAUAGUGCUGGAAGCUUAUAUUACAAGGAUUCACUAAAAAGCAAGUUCAGCAUCAGCAGAGACACCUCCAGUAAUACAAUAACAUUGAAAGGAAACAAUAUUCAAGCUCAAGACACAGCUGUGUAUUAUUGUGCCAGAUAUCACAGUGACAGAAACUAACAGCCUCCCUGUACAAAAACAUUAUCACUGAAAGGUUAUCAGGUUUUCACAAUUAGGAUUGAAUUCAAACAACAAUUACAUAAUAAAACAUUAUAAAUAGCCUAAAUAAAUAAAACUGCAACAAUAAGUUCAUUAUUUAUUGAAGUAGAAAGAUAAAAAUAAAGUCAGUGUUGUCACUUGUAUUAUUAAAGUGGCAUUUGCUUUCUUUAAGAUGAGACGGGCACUUGGGUAAAAACUUCAACUCAAGCUCUGCA